ensembl:lncRNA
GCGAAACAACCCAGAGUCCCAUCUACAACAACCACUGCAGUGUGUGGUUAGAGAUGGACGAAGCGAGAUAGGUUACCACCUACAGUAAUUACCCGAAAGAACUGAUUAUUAUCGGCAAAGCCGUAUCACAAGGCUUUAAACCAACUCUCCGUGCUAGCCAGGUUCUCCCGCUUAAUUGGCUGCCACGAAUACGGGGGCGUGCACAAAGCUAGAGUAUUGUCACCUGCUGACUGGACAUCUGCUCCUGACCUCUCCGCUGCAGAUUAAUGACAGCUCAGUGGGGUUUUGAUGGGACAAAUGACAAGUCUGUACUUUUUACCUCCAAGUACGUUUCUACCUACUGGGGAAGUUGGCAAAUUGGCUAUAGCAUUGCAUUUCCGGCACAGCCCAAUUAUAGAAAACAGGGGCUCGGAUGAUGGAUUUAGACCUGACAACAGGUGAGGUGAGAACCUGCUUGAGGAUUUCUUUCUCAGUGAACUACAAUGGGGUGAAGACGUCAGGGUGCUGAGCAGAGCUCGUGGUGGCCAGUGGUGUAACACUCUGUAAGAAAAUAUUUGCAUUGGAGAGGUGUGUGUGGGACGGUCAGCCCAGGUUUGGUCUCAACGACAGACUGUCCGUUCCUUGGAGGUCAGUGCAGAUGCUGAUGUUGCUGCACAGUGUGUCAGUCUAAAUAUGGUGUACAAUAAGCAUCACAAAUUGCACGCUAUUCCCUGCAUUAGGGAACCCCAACUCCAAUCCUGGAGGGCUGAGACACAGCUUGAUUUCAUCCUCUCCUACUACUCAGAGGCUGAUUCAUUAUAGUCCACUACUUUAGACUAGGGCCCUACUCCUUGUAUCGUACACUACUUUAGACUAGGGCCCUACUCCUUGUAUAGUACACUACUUUAGACUAGGG